AUUGAACGCUGGCGGCAGGCCUAACACAUGCAAGUCGAGCGGAGCGGCGGACGGGUGAGUAAUGCCUAGGCAUCUGCCUGGUAGUGGUGGAUAACGUCCGGAAACGGGCGCUAAUACCUCAUACUUUCCGUUGAGCCUAGUUCGGAUUAGCUAGUUGGUGGGGUAAGGGCCUACCAAGGCGACGAUCCGUAACUGGUCUGAGAGGAUGAUCAGUCACACUGGAACUGAGACACGGUCCAGACUCCUACGGGAGGCAGCAGUGGGGAAUAUUGGACAAUGGGCGAAAGCCUGAGGCGGCCAUGCCGCGUGUGUGAAGAAGGUCUUCGGAUGGUAAAGCACUUUAAGUUGGGAGGCGUUACCAGCAGAAUAAGCACCGGCUAACUUCGUGCCAGCCGCCGCGGUAAUAC
rnacentral:rRNA from 1 species